GGUAACAGCAACCCUAUUUGCUUUUCUCUGCUUCCCCUGUUUCUUUUCUCUUUGCUAUGCUAGGAUAGCUGUUUUGCCCUGACUUUUGUUCUCUAUGCUAAGCCAACUGUAUCCUCCUGAAAAUUUACUCUGUGCUAAGCCAGGCUAAAAGUUGUUCCCAACUUCUGUUGUCUAUGCUAAGCUACGGCAACUGUUUUCCCCUUGGUUCUUUACUCCUUGCUAAAAUAAGCCAACAAUUUCCCCCAUAUUCUUUUUUUCAUUGCUGAACAAGGCUCUUCUUUUCCCUAUGCUAAGCUAUGCUAAUAUCUCUGUAAUGGAUGCAAAUUGAACAGAUUUGAUUAACUGAUUAAGCAUGUAGCGCUUUUUCUUUCAAAGUCAACAUAAUAGUCACUAAACUCUGCAGUUUGGAGGUUUGCACUUUCUGUUUAAAGGGGUGAUAGUGUGCAAAAGCUUUGUGGUUUUGUGUUAAAGUCACACAUUGUGUGAUUGUGUGUAAAAUAAAGAUGAUUAUGUGU